rnacentral:rRNA from 1 species
GAUGAACGCUAGCGGGAGGCUUAAUACAUGCAAGUCGAGGGGCAGCAUGGGACUUCGGUCCUGAUGGCGACCGGCGCACGGGUGAGUAACGCGUACACGACCUACCUUCGAGAGGGGCAUAGGCUCGGGAAACUGAGAUUAAUACCCCAUAGUAUUAUUAUAAAUAAAUGGUAAUAAUUAAAGAUCCGUCGCUCGAAGAUGGGUGUGCGUAGGAUUAGAUAGUUGGUGAGGUAACGGCUCACCAAGUCUACGAUCCUUAGGGGGCGUGAGAGCGUGGCCCCCCACACGGGUACUGAGACACGGACCCG